CGGGGGAGGCCGGAUCCUGGGCUGUGUCCCGGCGCCCUGUGCUCCGGAGCCUGUGCUGGUGGAUUCGCGCUCCCGCCCCGCAGCCCCCU
rnacentral:pre_miRNA from 1 species